AAAAGUUGAGUAUGCUUAUGCAUAUUUCUAAUUUACUGUGAACUGUUUUACUGUUUAGCGUUUUGAGGGAUUGCCUAAAGAUUAUAGGGAUAGGUCUUCAGGAUGUUAACCUAGCUAAAGUCAGGCUUAGGCCUGGUAUCCUAAUUCAUUAUUUACCAAAAGAAUUCAGAAUUAAUAUUGUAACAUAAGCGUAAAAAACUUAUAAAACAACUUUUAACAACGGAUCUCUUGGUUCUCGCAUCGAUGAAGAACGUAGCAAAGUGCGAUAACUAGUGUGAAUUGCAUAUUCAGUGAAUCAUCGAGUCUUUGAACGCAUCUUGCGCUCAAUGGUAUUCCAUUGAGCACGCCUGUUUCAGUAUCAACAACAACCCACAUCCACAAUUUUGUUGUGAAUGGAAGUGAGAGUAUCGAUGUAAAAAUUGAACUCUUUAAAACUAUUAGGCCUGAACUAUUGUUCUAUUAGCCUGAACAUUUUUUUAAUAUAAAGGAAUGCUCUAGUUAAAAGACUAUCUUGGGGGCCUCCCAAAUAAAUCAUUUUUUUAAACUUGAUCUGAAAUCAGGUGGGAUUACCCGCUGAACUUAAGCAUAUCAAUAAGCCGGAGGA
rnacentral:rRNA from 1 species